GAUGAACGCUGGCGGCGUGCCUAAUACAUGCAAGUCGAGCGAACGGACGAGAUGCUUGCUUCUCUGAUGUUAGCGGCGGACGGGUGAGUAACACGUGGAUAACCUACCUAUAAGACUGGGAUAACUUCGGGAAACCGUAGCUAAUACCGGAUAAUAUUUUGAACCGCAUGGUUCAAAAGUGAAAGACGGUCUUGCUUUCACUUAUAGAUGGAUCCCCGCUGCAUUAGCUAGUUGGUAAGGUAACGGCUUACCAAGGGAACGAUGCAUAGCCGACCUGAAAGGGUGAUCGGCCACAUGGGAAUGGAGACACGGCCCAAACUCCUACGGGAGGCGGCAGAAGGGAAUCUUCCGCAAGGGGCGAAAGCCUGACGGAGCAACGCCGGGGGAGUGAUGAAGGUCUUCGGAUCGUAAAACUCUGUUAUUAGGGAAGAACAUAUGUGUAAGUAACUGUGCACAUCGUGACGGUACCUAAUCAGAAAGCCACGGCUAACUACGUG
rnacentral:rRNA from 1 species